CCUACGGGUGGCAGCAGUAGGGAAUUUUCGUCAAUGGGCGCAAGCCUGAACGAGCAAUGCCGCGUGAACGAUGAAGGUCUUCGGAUCGUAAAGUUCUGUUGAAGGGGAAAAAGAGCGGAGAGAGGAAAUGAACUCCGAUUGAUAUUACCCUUCGAGGAAGUCACGGCUAACUACGUGCCAGCAGCCGCGGUAAUACGUAGGUGGCGAGCGUUAUCCGGAAUGAUUGGGCGUAAAGGGUGCGUAGGCGGCCUGCUAAGUCUGGAGUGAAAGGUACCGGCUCAACCGGUACAGGCUCUGGAAACUGGAGGGCUAGAGAGCAGGAGAGGGCGGUGGAACGCCAUGUGUGGCGGUAAAAUGCGUAGAUAUAUGGAAGAACACCAGUGGCGAAGGCGGCCGCCUGGCCUGUUGACUGACGCUGAGGCACGAAAGCGUGGGGAGCAAAUAGGAUUAGAUACCCGGGUAGUC
rnacentral:rRNA from 1 species